rnacentral:rRNA from 1 species
CGACGGGUGGCAGAAGUAGGGAAGAGUACACAAGGGGCGAAAGCCGGAGGGAGCAACGCCGCGUGGGUGAAGAAGGUCUUCGGAUCGUAAAACCCUGUUGUUAGAGAAGAAAGUGCGUGAGAGUAACUGUUCACGUUUCGACGGUAUCUAACCAGAAAGCCACGGCUAACUACGUGCCAGCAGCCGCGGUAAUACGGAGGAUGCGAGCGUUAUCCGGAUUUAUUGGGUUUAAAGGGUGCGUAGGCGGACAGUCAAGUCAGCGGUAAAAAUGCGGUGCUCAACGCCGUACAGCCGUUGAAACUGGCAGUCUUGAGUGGGCGAGAAGUAUGCGGAAUGCGUGGUGUAGCGGUGAAAUGCAUAGAUAUCACGCAGAACUCCGAUUGCGAAGGCAGCAUACCGGCGCCCGACUGACGCUGAGGCACGAAAGCGUGGGUAUCGAACAGGAUUAGAUACCCUAGUAGUC